CACACCAGUUCUGACACUGAUGA
rnacentral:snRNA from 1 species